rnacentral:pre_miRNA from 1 species
AAAAUACUUCUUUUGUCCGAAAAUACUUGUUCAAAAAAUGAAUGUAUCUAAAUGUAUUUUAGUUUUAAAUAUAUUCAUUUGUAUUCAUUUUUACGACGAGUAUUUCCGAACGGAGGGAGUACAUC